rnacentral:rRNA from 1 species
UACGUAGGGUGCAAGCGUUAAUCGGAAUUACUGGGCGUAAAGCGUGCGCAGGCGGUUGUGCAAGACAGAUGUGAAAUCCCCGGGCUCAACCUGGGAAUUGCAUCUGUGACUGCAUCGCUGGAGUGCGGCAGAGGGGGAUGGAAUUCCGCGUGUAGCAGUGAAAUGCGUAGAUAUGCGGAGGAACACCGAUGGCGAAGGCAAUCCCCUGGGCCUGCACUGACGCUCAUGCACGAAAGCGUGGGGAGCAAACAGG